rnacentral:snRNA from 1 species
UUAGCUUUGGGAAGACAUAUUAAAACAGGGACAACAGACAGAAGAUGAGCACUGCCUGUGUGCAAGGAUGGCAUGCAAAUUCGUAUACAGUUCCACAUUUUU